UGAAGCGCUGGUUUCAUGUCACUGGUGUCUCACUGUGUUUGUGCGAUCGACCCGGAGCAUCUGAAUCCGCCUCAAGGAUUUAAAGGGCAAAAACUCUCCGGUUGCGCUCAUCCCAUUUUGCAGCCGCAGACGGUGCUAUGACGCUGGAGGCCUUCCACAAUGUUUUUGCAUGACCUGCUUUGGUAAAGUGUCUUCCUGUAAGCCAAGAGCUCUCUUUAAAUGUCAGAGUUCAAAACACUGUUAUUUUGUAAUGUGGGGUUUGGAAAUAAACGACAAAAAAGAAACGA